UACAGAGGCCUCGAGCGUUAGGCGGAAUCACUGGGCUUAAAGCGUGUGUAGGCGGACUUCUAAGUACCUUGUGAAAUCCCACGGCUCAACCGUGGAACUGCUCGGUAUACUGGUUCUCUUGAGCCACCUAGGGGCAACCGGAACAAACGGUGGAGCGGUGAAAUGCGUAGAUAUCGUUUGGAACGCCAAUGGUGAAAACAGGUUGCUGGGGGUGUGCUGACGCUGAGACACGAAAGCCAGGGGAGCAAACGGG
rnacentral:rRNA from 1 species